GACCCUGUUGGGGUGCAGCCUGAGCCACC
rnacentral:sRNA from 1 species